UCUUCUGAUUUGGACCUAUUUAAUGUUGCCACCCAAGAAUCAGGUCCUGAUAUAAACUUUUUAGAUGUGUUUGUGUGUUGUUUUCAUGAAGUGAUCUGUAUGAAACAGCAGUUCUAAGGAGAAUGGAAAGACUAUCUGCUUCAGAGAAGUACAUCCUAGAAGGUCAGUGGACAAGGCUAUUGUUGUCAUCUGUCCUGAGUCUGAAUUGCUGGCAUGGAGUUCUGCUUUGUGAUACCAAUUCU
rnacentral:lncRNA from 1 species